rnacentral:rRNA from 1 species
CAGCACCUCAAGUGGUCAGGAGGAUUAUUGGGCCUAAAGCAUCCGUAGCCUGUUCUAUAAGUUUGCGGUUAAAUCUAUACGCUCAACGUAUAGGCUGCCGUAAAUACUGUAGAACUAGGGAGUGGGAGAGGUAGACGGUACUCGAUAGGAAGGGGUAAAAUCCUUUGACCUAUUAGUGACCACCUGUGGCGAAGGCGGUCUACCAGAACACGUUCGACGGUGAGGGAUGAAAGCUGGGGGAGCAAACCAGGUUAGAUCCCGGUAGUCCCAGCUGUAAACGAUGCAGACUCAGUGUGCAAUGGC